rnacentral:lncRNA from 1 species
AGGGACGCCCCCACAGGUAGACGAAGAGGGUCCAGAGAAAGGUGGGGAUUCCCUAACCCCUUCUUUCUUGGCACAGACAGGCAGAGAACACCUCUUUUCUCACCCCUGGGCAGCCCCAGGAAGUCAAUCCUUCCACUAUUCCUGCUCCGUGCCUCUCUUCCCUCUGCCCAGAUUCCUGGGAGACUCAAAACCCUGUUCAACUCUCUCUGGGCUAGCUGCUCCCCUCCCCAAGAGGAUUUCUCUCCAGAGCUGGUAUCAUCGCUUAAUGAUGUUCCACCAACAAGGGGAAGGUUUCUUUUCUGGGAGCUGCUAUCACUGAAUACAUAAAGAAAUUGAGCCUAUAUGAUUUCAAUCUUCACCUUCUGAUGCUGAUGAAACAGGAUUCUAUGCAGAGAAAAUCCUCUCCAGUCAAGUAAUUGCAUCCAUUUCAUCUUCCCAGCCCUCCUCUAGAUGGGAGGUGGAGGUGUGUGUACCAAUCUCUUAAUUCAGAAAUGAGACAAGAGGAGGAAAAAGGAGUUCCGGAGGACAGUGGGGACCCCAGCCAGAGCCUGGGGACUUGGCUGCCUUGGAACCAGAACCUGGCCCCUCAGAGGAGUUGCAGAAUUUCGAUAGAGGAGUGGCAGGAGGUGUACUGGCUGAAGAGGAGGCCCAAGGAACUCCUUUUCAUACAUCAAAACUGAGCUUAUCACCUCUACCCUGAAGUCAUCCUGGACAUCACUGGUCCCAGUUAAUCACUCACUUAUCUUUGCCAUCCUUGACCUGGGAAGAGAACGUUGCCCUCAUUGGUCUGGAAUCAGCAGGUACCUCAUGGCUGGAGGUGUAUUUUCAGGUGGGUUGGGACUUUGAAGAGGUGGCUUUUCCUAUGGACCCCUCUGACUCCCCACCUGUGGGCAUGACACAGGUGACCUGGCUGCCAGGGCAGAGGCUGCUUAGCCCUGCUCCAGAGAAACAGAGCUCUGAGGGCUUCCAGAAACCAGGGCUCCUGGCUCCUCAGUCCUUCCCACUCCUCUCUUCCUACUCCCGUGCUGCAUAUAAACUUUUCUUUUUUUUUCAGAUGGAGUCUCACUCUGUCACUCAGGCUGGAGUGCAGUGGUGCGAUCUCAGCUUACUGCAACCUCCGCCUCCCGGGUUCAAGUGAUUCUCCUGCCUCAGCUUCCCCAGUAGCAGGGACUACAGGACCACAGACUCCUUUGGCAUCUGGUGAGGCCUGUGGAUUCAUUCUCAGAAUCACAUUUUUAAAUGCACAUAAUAAAAUACAUAGAAUUGCAAAGGAAGUUAAUUAUAUUGAAAUACAGUUAUCAAAAAUAUAAAUAAAACAAGUAUGUGGUACAGUCAUAUGUGUGCUUCUUUAUUAAGUCAUUACAAAGCAAGAUCUAUUUGGAGGUCUAAUAACUGUCAUAUGCUUGAAAAAAUCCUUAACAAUCAUAAUAUAUUAAAAAAUCUGAUUUCUACUUUGGCAAAUCAUAGAUAUUGCUGAAACUGUGGUUUAUUGCCUGCAUUCAUAAUUGAAGGAAAUGCUAGAGUUCAGUGAGAAGGUUGUGAAAAUAAAGAGAGCCUUUUUUUCUCAUCAAG